rnacentral:rRNA from 1 species
ACCUACGGGGCGCAGCAGUAGGGAAUCUUCCACAAUGGACGAAAGUCUGAUGGAGCAACGCCGCGUGAGUGAAGAAGGGCUUCGGCUCGUAAAGCUCUGUUGGUAGUGAAGAAAGAUAGAGGUAGUAACUGGCCUUUAUUUGACGGUAAUUACUUAGAAAGUCACGGCUAACUACGUGCCAGCAGCCGCGGUAAUACGUAGGUGGCAAGCGUUGUCCGGAUUUAUUGGGCGUAAAGCGAGUGCAGGCGGUUCAAUAAGUCUGAUGUGAAAGCCUUCGGCCCCACCGGGGAAUUUCAUCAGAAAAU